CGGAUGGCUGUCUAAAAAAUCUAACGGUCUUCAAAAUGAUAUCCAGUUGGUUGAGAAACUACCUUUUUGGUGCAACUUAUUACCUGGAUGUCUAACCUUCAUCGGCGUUACUCUUGCUUCAAACGAAAAUAACUUCAGACUUUCCUGACCAGAAAAACAUGUUUAUAAUGACAUUCGGUCAUUUUCACUUUCAGAUGAUAACUUGGCCUUUGGAAAGAAAGCAUCACAGAGUUCGACCCGAGCCUUCAAUGGAGUAUCAGCUGGAGCCGAAAAGGGUGUGGAUGGUUCCGUUACUGACUGCGCUGUAACAAACCCGGAACAACAGCCAUGGUGGCAGGUGGACCUGGCAGGUUACUACAGGGUCAGCCGGGUCAGAGUUAUAAACCGCUUCGAUGUGGACACAGCAGCACCGACCAGUGCUCCUGGAUGUGGAGGUAUCCUGACGGCUCCCCCUGGAGGUACUGUGACGUCACCCAACUACCCCGAGAACUAUGGCAACGAUGAGACUUGUGAGUGGACGAUCACCGUGCCCGAAGGAAGCAGGGUUCUUCUCACGUUCGGCAGUUUCAACCUGGAGAACAGUUGGGACUAUUUGACUAUAUACGAUGGAGGCAGUGAUAAUGCUACAGAACCGCAAAGGUUAACAGGUAACGCAAAACCAGACCCCAUCACCAGUACAUCUAACCAGAUGUUCGUGAGGUUUACAUCUGACGGUAGUGUCACGGCUCCGGGGUUCCAGUUCU